ACAGUGGACGCGAGCAUCUGUGGCCAAGUUUUUAAGGGCGCACGGUGGAUGCCUUGGCACCAGGAACCGAUGAAGGACGUGGGAGGCCACGAUAGUCCCCGGGGAGCCGUCAACCAGGCUUUGAUCCGGGGGUUUCCGAAUGGGGAAACCCGGCAGUCGUCAUGGGCUGUCACCCAUGCCUGAACACAUAGGGCAUGUGGAGGGAACGAGGGGAAGUGAAACAUCUCAGUACCCUCAGGAAGAGAAAACAACCGUGAUUCCGGGAGUAGUGGCGAGCGAAACCGGAUGAGGCAAAACCGUAUGCGUGUGAGACCCGGCAGGGGUUGCGCAUGCGGGGUUGUGGGAUCUCUCUUUCACAGUCUGCCGGCUGUGAGGCGAGUCAGAAACCGUAUGGAUAGGCGAAGGACAUGCGAAAGGUCCGGCGUAGAGGGUAAGACCCCCGUAGCUGAAAUUCAUGCGGCUCGUUUGAGAGACACCCAAGUAGCACGGGGCCCGAGAAAUCCCGUGUGAAUCUGG
rnacentral:rRNA from 1 species